rnacentral:rRNA from 1 species
UACGUAGGGUGCGAGCGUUGUCCGGAAUUACUGGGCGUAAAGAGCUCGUAGGUGGUUUGUCGCGUUGUCCGUGAAAACUCACAACUCAAUUGUGGGCGUGCGGGCGAUACGGGCAGACUGGAGUACUGCAGGGGAGACUGGAAUUCCUGGUGUAGCGGUGGAAUGCGCAGAUAUCAGGAGGAACACCCGUAGCGAAGGCGGCACUCUGGGCCGAUACUGACACUGAGGAGCGAAAGCGUGGGGAGCGAACAGG